rnacentral:lncRNA from 1 species
GGUCUGUCCAGGGUUCGGAAGAUAUUUUGAUAAUCACAGAACAUGAACUAGGGUGCUUAGAGUUAUAGUCCUCAAAGUGGCCACAUCCAAGCUAAAAUGCUUUCAGGAUCAUGAGAACCACCUCUCCUGAUUCUCCGUCUUGCCGUCUCAGGGCAGGGGAGACAUUGCCAUCACGAUUCACAUGGGAAGAUGUCUGAGGUGCCAUCAUCCCUUCUCCCGGGGCAAUGGUUUUCUAUAGAGGCCUUGAUCAGGUAACAGGAGAUCCUGGUUAUUUAAUAAAUUUCAUGCAACUUCCUACCACACAUUCCAAAGCACACCAAAGCCACUCAAACACGAGAAAUGAUUGUACGCCAUAGGAAAGGCGGCUGUCACGAAGUCAAGUCCCAGAGAGGCGAUUUCUACCAAGAAGAGAUAACAGCCUAAUCCUGGGGCUGCUGCGAAUGACACUGCCACAGCUCCAGGCACCUGCCAGCCAAGGACAGAUGGCGACCACUGCCACCCACAGGCUGUCCCAGGGAGAAUUUAUGGUCUGGCCAAAAAGAGAGCUUCCUAAUGAGGCAUCCUGGAAACUGAUGGAAACUGUUCUUAUCCAUCUCCCCCACCUCUUGUGCCCCAUCAACUCAGAGUGGUCCAGAAGCCCAAAGCUGAGAGGACAAAGCUCACUGGGGUAAGUUAACAUCACUCCAGAUCAGCCCCAGUGAAGACAGGGAGAAUUGCCU